GCACCCGUAGCUCAGCUGGAUAGAGCGUUGCCCUCCGAAGGCAAAGGCCAUAGGUUCGAAUCCUAUCGGGUGCGCCA
rnacentral:tRNA from 1 species